AUCUCAGUAGUCCUAUGAAUAUGUACAUAUGUAUGUAUAUUAUUUUGAAAAAGGAAAAGAAGUCUUAACUUUUUUUUUUUUUUUUUUUUUUUUUUUUUCCUGUAGAUGAGGGGAGGAAGGAGUGAAUGUGAUGUUCUGUCUAUGGUAUAAUUUUGUCUACUGAUUGUGAGAACUGAGAAGUCUACCUAUAACCUCAUAUUUUGCAUUUUUCAUCUUUCCAUUCUUUUUCUCAACUAAAUUCUUCAGAGAAGCCUUCUCAACCCUGUCGAGCAGCUGAGAUUCUGGAGGCAAAACGAAGAGAGAACAGACAAUGACUGGAUAUAAUAGAGAGUUUAGAACUCCUGAAGGAAAGACAGGACUUGAACAGAACACUCCCAUCCUGUGUAUGACUACGUUAAUGAAAGCAGGAGAACCAUUUCAUGAAUGAGUGACUGCCAGUACUUUGUGCAAGACUGCCCUUGCUUAUCAGGCAUGCAUCAGCUAAUUCCUUGCAACUAGAUGCACUUGCACGUGCUCAGACACUGAAGUUAGGCUGCCCAAACAAAUCUCAGGCUGGCAGCACAUCCUUGUCUUCUGAGAAAUGAAUGAGGCUCCCUCUUCCAUUCUCUGCUGUUUAAAUAGAGGCCAUCUGAGAACCACCUUCAAACUCCACAAAAGCAGAAGUUCUUUGGGCUUGCUUCCUUGCAAUGAUGGUCUGCCAUUGAUCUGAAACCUGAAAACUCACUUUUAAAGUCUGUCCUCACUGAAGACAUGAAGUCGGUUACCAACUUAGUGGUAUUGCCUCUUCUUUCCUAUUUACGUUUCUUUUAUAGACAUAUGUGUGCAUGUGUAUACAUAUCCAUACGUAUACACAUUUAUAUUUCAAAAACAAAAACAAAGCAAACAAACAAAAAAACAUUUGUGCCCUGCUGCAGACUGUCUUGGAGGGAGGCUUCAUUUCUAUUUUUAGGACAUUAGCGUUAAGAAUUAAGAAAAGGAAGCUGGUUAUGUGUUAACCACACUCAAAAGAAUACGGUUCACUUUCUGUCUGGCAAAAAAUAAUUUGGAGAUUUGUCUGAAUAAAGCUUAGGAUAUGUGUUGAAUAUCCUUCAGUGUUGGCUUGGGAUUUACCCUUGUGGGGUUUGCUGCACCCAGCAGUCCAGCAGAGGCAAGGCUGCCACAGUUCCAUGUCCCAGGUCCAGUCAGUAGCGAGGCUGAGCAUGUAUUCCCAGACACACACACAUUCCUACAGCACCUAUAUAUAUGUACUCAUGUUCAGCCACACCAGUCAACAGAGGCACACUCAGCACUAGGGCUAAUGCAAACAGCACUGAUGGCCUCAUCUUUUUCCCCUCUCUGUCUGACCAGGAUAACUUUUGUGCGAUUCCCAAAUGCUCUUCCCCUAUAAUGACCCCACACACCUGGAAGCAACCCUUCAGUCUGUGGUGAUCUCAGGACACCACAGAUCCCAGUCUCCUGCAGACUCAUGGUGGUGGCUGUCACCCCAGACCUGUGGGGCUAAUGCCCUGGGGUACCACGGUCCUAGGGGUCCUCAUGUCCCUCACCAGGUUAUUGGGGUGCCCCUGCCUGGCACCACACCCUUCUGCUCCUUCUUGCCUGAGGAGAGCAGCUUCUUAUCACACAUCCCAAAGUGUAGUAGUUCAAGUGCUAAUUCACUGCCUACAGGAAUAACAAUGCCAACAAGGUUCCUGAGUAGUUUUCAGUUAAAAAUUAUAUUCUGUCUCUUCAUAAUUUCCCAUUUUAUUAUUUUGAUUUAACUUUUUUUCAUGACUUAAGCAAAUGUGCUGAGGUGUAGUGUGCUAUUAACUAAUUGCUAUGCUUCCUCCAAGAGGUGGCUGCAUGUCUGUGGAAGUGUAAUAAUUUGCAUAUGCUUAUAAAAUGUUUUGGAACUGUAAAAGUGCUGUGUAACUCUCCUCUACUCUGUUUCUUCAUCAGAUUUUUCAAAGCUGACUAUUAAACUUCAGAAAAAAAUGAAAUAUUAUCUUGUGUUCAAAUUCAGUACGGAAGAUGAGGGAUUUUGUGUCCACAGGCAGGUCAAGUGCUUGUCAGCUUUAAGAACAGCACUAUGGAAAUAAAACAAGA